rnacentral:rRNA from 1 species
GAUGAACGCUGGCGGCGUGCCUAAUACAUGCAAGUCGAGCGAACAGACGAGGCGCUUGCUCCUCUGACGUUAGCGGCGGACGGGUGAGUAACACGUGGAUAACCUACCUAUAAGACUGGUAUCACUUCGGGAAACCGGAGCUAAUACCGGAUAAUCUAUUGAACCGCAUGGGUCAAUAGAGAAAGACGGUUUUGCUGUCACUUAUAGCUGGAUCCGCGCCGCAUUAGCUGGUUGGUACGGUAACGGCGUACCAAGGCGACGAUGCGUAGCCGACCUGAGAGAGUGAUAGCCCGCAUGAGAACUGAGACACGGACCAGAGGCCUACGGGAGGGAGCAGUAGGGAAUCGUCCGCAAUGGUCGAAAACUUGACGGAGCAACGCCGAGUGAGAGAUGAAGGCCUUCGGAUCGUAAAACUCUGUUACUAGGGAAAAACAGAUGUGGAAGGAAAUAUGCACGUCUUGACGGUACCGAAUAAGAAAGCCACGGCUAACUACGUG